rnacentral:snoRNA from 1 species
UGCAGCUUAUGUCUGCUCACUGCUGGUAAGUGGACAUACCCUGAGGGCUGCCAGAGGAUGUCUGACUGCCAGCUUGGGCCUGAUCCCCCCAGGGAGUGGGCCUAAGCCAGCAGGUGGACAUCC